AGAGUUUGAUUAUGGCUCAGGAUGAACGCUGACAGAAUGCUUAACACAUGCAAGUCUACUUGAUCCUUCGGGUGAUGGUGGCGGACGGGUGAGUAACGCGUAAAGAACUUGCCCUGCAGUCUGGGACAACAUUUGGAAACGAAUGCUAAUACCGGAUAUUAUGUGAGUUUCGCAUGAAAUUCAUAUGAAAGCUAUAUGCGCUGCAGGAGAGCUUUGCGUCCUAUUAGCUAGUUGGUGAGGUAACGGCUCACCAAGGCGAUGAUAGGUAGCCGGCCUGAGAGGGUGAACGGCCACAAGGGGACUGAGACACGGCCCUU
rnacentral:rRNA from 1 species